UCGAGACCUGCAAAGCAAACCCGCGAACACGUUUCCAACACGCUUGGGUUCGCGCCGUCGGAUGCCUCGGCGUCCCUCGUCGCGCUCCCUUAUCGACGACUCACGCUUGCGUGGGUCGUUCCGGUUAACGAACAUCCCGGCGCGGCAUGCGAAAGGGAAACUGUCACGAGAAAGCCUGCCCCCGCGAAUAUCGUUCGCGAUGCAUCGCGGGCGGCACUUGCCUCUUGAAUCACCUAAACACUCUCGGCAACGGAUAUCUCGGCUCUCGCAUCGAUGAAGAACGUAGCGAAAUGCGAUACUUGGUGUGAAUUGCAGAAUCCCGUGAACCAUCGAGUCUUUGAACGCAAGUUGCGCCCGAAGCCAUUAGGUCGAGGGCACGUCUGCCUGGGCGUCACGCAUCGCNUCGCCCCCUCCCACCCCUCUGUGAGAGCGGGUGAAUCCAAGGGGACGGACAUUGGGCUCCCGUGCUCUUCUCGUGCGGCCGGCUUAAAUUUGAGUCCUCGUCGACGGAUGUCACGACUAGUGGUGGUUGGAUCAAUCGCGUGCUGUCGUGCAAGACCCCGUCGGACUGUGGACGUCAGUACCGACCCACUAAUGCCACGCGCAUUCGACU
rnacentral:rRNA from 1 species